rnacentral:misc_RNA from 1 species
AUCAACACCUGCAUGUAUCAUCGUCGUCGACGGUGUGUAUUGCCGUCAGAUGUACUGGACGAUCGCAGAUGCUCGCACGAUGCUCGCUUCGUACGACAGUUGCUCGAUGUUGUAUAAGCAUCCGGGACUCGGCCACUGAAUGGGUUUGUCAAGCUUUUAGAGACGAAGUAUCGAGUGGCAAGAUUUACUGUACAUACUGAGAGUUUCGCGAUUAACAUGCAUGCCGAGGAUGACGACAUAUGGUGGUUCCGAUUGCUUAAGUUACGCAAUCUAGUACAACAUAAUAAAGUUGCAAUGAUAUCAUCUGACGUGUUCUACUCACAUUUUGUUGACGAAGCGAGCAAGAGGAAAUUAGAAACACAUCAUCGAGCGGAGUGAAGGUAAUCGUCGAGAACUCGUUUCGUGGAAUACUCGCCACAAUUUCACUUCCAUUUCACCGUGUUCUCGUAACGAAUUGCGUUCCUUGAGAUCUACGUUAUAAAUGUUCCUUUAAUUUUACUUCUCUUAAAAAACUAGUUCAAUAUUUCAAACAUAUAUUUUUGCAAUGAUUAAUAGCAAUUAAAUUGAUCGUAAUACACACAUACACCGUUCUUUGCAAUAAUUUAAUCCCUUUCUAAUUUUGAGUUACAGAAAAUGAUAUAAAAAUGAAAUAUUUCUGUACCUGUGAUAUAUUGGUAUUCUGAGAUGUGAAUCGUACGACGUACGACUGUAAACUAUUCAUUGAUAUUGGCGAUAAUAUACAAUACAUGCAUGCAUCUACGGUUGUGUUAUUAUUGCUUUCACAAAAGACUCGGAGCAGAUAAAUAUAUUCUGCGCCUUAAAACAAUAAUUUGAGACCUCCCCUAUAUCAAUGGAACUUCUAUGUGGAAUUAUAAUUUUAAAUAAUUGAAAACAUGUUUGUAAUUUAAAAUGUUUCAAAUAUUAUUUUUUAAAAUAUAGAAUUGUGUUUAAUACUAAAUAAAUUUUUGCAAAAUAAUUUUAGUAUUACCCAAAUAUAGAAAUAAACUCAUCAUAUCGGGUGACUGCAUAGGGCGGAUUUAAAUCUGAGUCACGAUUAUCUCAAAUAAGGAAUCACACGACUAAUCAUAUGAACACAGUAUCUCUUUUAUCGUCUUAUCUUUUGAUAUAACUCACAAGUACAUUUUUGCAAGAUAAGAAAGCGAAAAAUGUCCACAAGACUUUAUUAUAUUAUGCUGUUUAUUAUAUUGUAACAUAAUACUCUAAUUUUUAUUUCAGUCCAUAAUACAAAUACCAAGGAGUA